UACUCCUACGGGAGGCAGCAGUGGGGAAUAUUGCACAAUGGGCGGAAGCCUGAUGCAGCAACGCCGCGUGCGGGAUGACGGCCUUCGGGUUGUAAACCGCUUUCGCCUGUGACGAAGCGUGAGUGACGGGAAUGGGUAAAGAAGCACCGGCUAACUACGUGCCAGCAGCCGCGGUAAU
rnacentral:rRNA from 1 species